rnacentral:rRNA from 1 species
UACGAAGGGGGCUAGCGUUGUUCGGAAUUACUGGGCGUAAAGCGCGCGCAGGCGGCUAUCCAAGUCAGUGGUGAAAGCCCGGAGCUCAACUCCGGAACUGCCAUUGAAACUGUUUAGCUUGAGGACGAGAGAGGUGAGUGGAAUUCCCAGUGUAGAGGUGAAAUUCGUAGAUAUUGGGAAGAACACCAGUGGCGAAGGCGACUUACUGGACACAUAUUGACGCUGAGGUGCGAAAGCGUGGGGAGCAAACAGG